UCUUCCUUCGGGAGGAGGUGUCCUAGUGGCGAACGGGUGAGUAACACGUUGGUGACCUACCCCGAAGAGGGGGACAACCCCGGGAAACUGGGGCUAAUACCCUAUGUGAUCCUAAGGAUUAGAUGCCUAAGGAUGAAAUGGAUGCUUGCAUUCGCUUCGGGAGGGGCCUGCGGCCUAUCAGCUAGUUGGUGAGGUAAUGGCUCACCAAGGCGACGACGGGUAGGGGGCCUGAGAGGGUGGUCCCCCACACUGGAACUGAAACACGGACCAGACACCUACGGGUGGCAGCAGUAGGGAAUAUUGCACAAUGGGCGCAAGCCUGAUGCAGCAACGCCGCGUGCGCGAUGAAGGCCUUAGGGUUGUAAAGCGCUUUUCUGGGGGAAGAGAAAGGACGGUACCCCAGGAAUAAGUCUCGGCUAACUACGUGCCAGCAGCCGCGGUAAAACGUAGGAGGCGAGCGUUAUCCGGAUUUACUGGGCGUAAAGCGCGUGCAGGCGGUUUGGUAAGUCGGACGUGAAAGCUCCCGGCUCAACUGGGAGAGGCCGUUCGAAACUGCCAGACUAGAGGGCAGCAGAGGGAGGUGGAAUUCC
rnacentral:rRNA from 1 species